GGGUGCCUUUCGGGGUGUCUUCUGUGAUCUCACCCCAAUUUCCGGAUCUGCCCCUGGCGUAUUUGCUGGGUGCCUGAGAGGGACCGCAGGGCCUGCUUGUGGGCACAGGGCCCCCCCCCCCAACUUUUGCCAGAGCUUCUCAGCUUUUGUCUGGUUCAUGUGUGUUGAUUUCCCUGGGAAAGGGUUCUGUUCAGAGGAAGAGUAGAGUCUGAAAGCCACGAUAGAUGAGCACCGGACACGGGGUCUCCUGACGUGUGGUUUCUUUAGGUCCAGACACCUGUCGGGCCUCGGUUUCCACACCCUCGGGAUGGAGACGCCUCUUCUCGGCCUUUGUCUUUGUGCUUCUGUCGAGGUCGGGGUCGGGGUUGGGUUAGAUGAAGUGUGAACGGGGGAGAGAAUGCUGGGGGGGGGUGCGGUUCAGGAGGGGAAGCGGCGGUGAAGAAGGACGGGAAGGAGGACGGAGAGGCGCUCCCCCAAGAGCAGCGGCCAGGGGCCCUCGGACGGCUGCGCCCCCGGGGCGUGGGCUCCACCCAGAGGUCGUCUCGGGUCACUGCAUGCACAGGGCCCCUGCUGCCCAGGCUGGGGAGUCACAGGCCCAGGACGGCAGGUGGACGAUGUCCCCCUUGAAGGAUGAGGAGAAUAAGGCUCAGAAAGGUGAAAGGAACUUCCUCACUUUCGUAAAAACGAAACAGCACAGCUGGGGACAGACCCGAGGUCCCCUCUGUGAGGCCAGUUUACACACACAGGAGGCCGGGGUUGGGCGCGGGUGGGCGGGCUCUGAGUGGGGGAAGGGCUCCCAGAGGGUGGGUUUCUGGCAAGCGCCCUCGCUCGCCCGCCCCGCUUGGUGAAGGCUUCCCUGCCUUCCAGCGUCCACCCCGGUGCCAGAACCCCGAGAGCAGAGUUGAACAAACGCGGUCUUCUGUCCCCAGGAUUUCCCACCGGACGAUGUAAAAUCCCAGAUCCCGGCAAUAAUUUUAGCGACGAUAAUAGACCUACUUUUACAUGCUUUUCUUUAUGGUCCCCCCCGCCCCCAGCAAUCUUCUCCGGGCCCUGUAGCAGGAGCCCCCCCACCCAAUGUCCUCGCAGCCUCCCCCUCCUUCUCCGUGACCCGACCCGGUGCCACCAAGGUGCCCUUGUUGUGUUCUGCAGGCAUUUUGAGUUCGGACCAGGCGAUCCGUCACUGGUGUCUUGAACUUGGAGUCGGGCAUCCUGGUGUCCGGAGAGUUUAAAUGACACGGCCACCGUGCGCCCUCCCCGUCCCAGUCUGCCUGCCCCGUCCUCAGACGCGUUGCACGAAGAGGCCCCGGCACCCACAGCUGCUGCCACUCGCACGUGGCCUGGCCCCCAGCUCACCCCUCAGAAGAGGCAGACGUCUCCGUGUGUCCCGUGUCUGGAGCCUCCGUGAGGUUGAAGCCUGAGGCAGCCGGCGGGCCCUCCCCACGCCUCCUCUGUGCACCCGGAGCAUGACAGGACGGGCGUCGCUGCCCUGUGGUUCUGAGGAACAGAGGGGCCCGGCGUCGGGUCUUCCUGGCCUUCCCGGGUGGGAUUGGGGAGCCCUUGAGCGCCGAGCGGUCACCUCGAAUAAAUGCCGGCAUGUUUCGUGAA